UUAGUAUAGUAAUAAUAAUUUCAAAAUGUCUAGGUGGUAUCUUAUCUAUUCAAAUAUACUAAUUAAUAGAUUUUAUAAAGCUUGCCACUCUAGGAGCACUAUUGUUUCAAUCUAUGGAGACUCUUUCCUGAUAGUGCAUGCCACAUGCAUGCAUGCAUGCUGAGAAACCAAACCAUUCUUCCUCUGAGCUACUGGCUAACCACCAUGUCUUAAUAAUAGAUUAAAUAUCUAUUUUGUGCUUGGAGGGUGAGGUUACUUUGAUUUGCACGAAACUAACAAAGUAGGGUCUGAUCAAUUUUUACCUGCUUCAGUUGCAGAUCUUCUAGCCUUAUUAGUUGUUACAUGCGAUAGAAUAGGUAAAGGAGUCCAGCGAAAUGCUGCCAUUGAUUAUAAGCAGGAAAUGUUGGAGUCUGGAUAUUUAAGGGUGGUGGAAUAGUACUAAAUGGACAUCAUCUUCGAGUUGCUUGUGACCUCCUGGACAAUGCAAUGAAGGAGCAGCGUUGCCAUGAUAAUCUGAUGUUUUUCUGAACAAGUCCAAACUGAAUUCUUCCAGGUUCUGAACUAAGGUUAGAUUUUGUAUGGUUCCUACAAAGUAAGCUGACACUAAGGAUGGCGAGAUUCUAUUUGAAUCCUAUUUAGUAUUUUGUGCAUUUGGAUUUCUUUCAAUGUAGUGUAUCUUUCUUUUGAUCUAUUAAUACAUGAUAGAUCUUUCCUUGAUCUAGGGAUUCAAAUAGAAUAUUCAGUACCUUUCUAUGCAGAAGUAUUCAGUUUUGAAAUGGAAGUCAGUGUGUGCCCAAAUGAAAGCACGUCGAAUGUACAGGCACUGCGAGAUAAUUUUGCACUUGUGACAGAUUUUUUUUAGUCAGUGUUAGCACAGUGUUUUUUUCAUAAGUAAAUAGCACGGAAAAGCAUUAUGAAUAACACAAAGCCAACUUGAUAAUGCAUAUUGCAUUGGUAGGAUUACUCUUAACUUAAGCCAUGCUUACUAAGCACUCAAGUGCCUUUCCAUCUGUGUUUUUGAAAUGUAAUCUUGUCAAAGAACCAGUCUUUAGGUCCUGGAUUCAGCAUUAGCCAGACCACUUGUGUGCAGACUAAACUGGCAUUUGAUAUACCAAUUAUUUCACACCCUCAGUUUCAUUAUUAUUCCCUUGUCAAUCCAUGUGUCCUUUUAUCCAUUUGAAGACUUUCACACAAUGUGGUAGAUAUUGAGACAUAGUUGAGCAGGUCCUUGUUUUAGUGUUGAAAUUAUAUUCAUGGUAGGAUCAUAAAACACUUCUUGGAUUUGCUGAAAUUUCUGAUCUAUUUUUUAUGUGCCAGUCUUUUGUUUCACAUUUUAUUUUAGCAGGAAGUAUGUAUCUUGUUUCUAGGGCUUAAGUUGGGAUAACGAAAUAUUUCUCUUCUAUGAAAAGGAAUUGAUGGGUCUUACCCUGCUCUGCAGACACCAAUUGGUGCCUCUUCAUUAAUAUUGUGCUUUCUCUUCUACCUGAAAGGCGUAAAUUUUUUCCUAUUUUGAUUGAAUAUUCUGCUGCCAAAAACUAUCAAUACGUGUCAGGAAUAUGUUUCCUGGUUUGCACACAUGAAGGUUGUGUUUGGAUUGGGCCCACACUUGCCCUACCAAAAUUUGGCAAGCCAAAUAAUUGGUUGUACUUUUGGUUGCCUUUGAGUUGGCCAACUUCGGCCAAAAAAUCGAACUAGAGUUGAUAAGGAAAUUGGCUUGCCAAAUAGUUGGCCACCAUCCAAACAACUACCAAAUUUUGGUCAAUGACAAAAAUUUAGCAUGACACCUCUUGGCACUGAACCAAACACACCCGAAUUUCUACUAAAUAAAGGUUGCGUCUUAUUUAUUUUGUGUUCUUUCUCUAUUUACUACGUUUGAAGUUCCGGUCUUGAAAUAUAUGAGGCAGUUGUCGUUGGUAAGCUUUUGGAGCGAGAUAGCAUUGGUCUUGGAUAUGUUACAACUCAAGGUGAGCAUGUGGACAUGGUGAAAAUGUCACUGACCCAAUAAAAGUGUUCAGAGUUACCUUCGUAUAUCCUGCAAGGGGGAUUGUCUACUAACUUAUGCUCGUGAUAAUUUUCAUUCAAAUUUUUAUCUCACUUCUCUCAUGUUUCUUUUACAUUUCAUUUAUUGGAUUGAGCUCUGUCCACGACUUCUGCCGCUUAUAUGUUUUUUGUUUAGAAUACACCGCUUAGAUGUUUUGAAAAUGCCUGAAGAUUUAGCUUCCAGUCAACUAUGCUGCUCUUUCAGCUAGGCCUGCAAGAGCAGCUUGUCUACUAUACCAGUAUGCAGCAGCACACAUAGCUUUUUUACUGGCAAUGCUUCUGCAGAAGUGUUUUUCCUGUGUGUGUGCAGGGAAAUUUUGGAAGAAUGGAGUCAAAACAACUGGUGUACUGAUGGACAUGAUGUUUAGCUUUUUUAUGGCAGAUUCGUCCACAUUUUGGACCUCAAUUAAUCCUGGAGGUCAAUUACUUGGAAGGCUGGUCUACAAAACAACUUCUCAAAGCUCAAAUGUGGUACAUAUUUAUUCAAAUUACUUGGCUGAAGAAAUUCCCAAAAAUCUUGUGUAUCCAUAGCUGCUAGCCUUCAGGGGAAAAGGAUAGGAUCCUUCACAAGAAUAUCCUCUACUAUAGGUCUGCAGUACGCCCUUCUCCAAAUCACUCCACAUUCAUUCUAUAUUGCUCACUAAUACACUUAAUCUGGUUUUCACUACUAAAGACAAAUGUGUAGGAGUCUCUUUGCAUGUUAACUCCAAGGUGAUCUGUUGAUCAGAUUAUCAAUUACAUGUGGUCCUUGAGAGGUUUGCUCAUGAACAUUCUUAAUAAGAAUGGCAAUGAUUAUAUGCAUUGUUAUUUUUAUAAUUGCCCGUGACGAUGAUGAAAAUUAUUUUUUCUGUCCCUUCGUGCUAUUGUUUAGUUGUUCCUUUGAUUAUUUCAAAUGCUUUUUUUAGUUUAGUUUAGCAGCAUCUACACCACCUCUGUCCAACCUUAGCACUUAGUCAGCUGUAUUUCACCAGUAGCACUCCAAGCUUAUUACUUGGGGAUGCAGGACCAAAAAUGCUACCAUUUCCUCUGCCCUGAUUGCCCAUGUAACUAAGUGGCUUCUUAGUUAAUGAUUUUAUGUAGUUAAUGCUUUUAUUGAAGAGACUACGUGUUGCCUAUUUCCCUAUUUCUUCAAGCCUUAUAAACUGUAUUCGCCUACACUAAGUUUCAGUUAUUCUUCAUAAAAUUCCGCAUCUUCUGUUGGCUUAAUUGUGGCACUUACGCAACGUGAUUACAGCCAUGGUCUGCUGGUCAAACCGUAUGUGGAAGUAGUAUAACCUUUCAAGGCAGAUGAGCAUUUCGUAGUAAGAAUUCUAUAACUUGGUCCUGGUGCUAAAUAUUAUGCGUCAUUUAUUGUAUUCUAAUUGCUUCUUUUGGUGUUAUUACUUCACGAUAUAUCAACGUACAGACAAUUUCAGGUGCUUUUGGAGUCAGAUUAAUUUGGCAUGGUGCUUAUUUUACUCUCGAUUUUAUCUUUUAUUUAUUUAUUUUGCUUGCUUGCACAACUAGAUGUUUCUGUCUCAACUCUCAAACCCGGCAAGGGAUAGUGCCAGCAAAUUGCACAGCUUCAUUGUUGGGUGGUGCAAAUGAACGAAAUGAUGAAAGCGCAUGAAGGAUACAUACUGUUAAUUCAUCUGGUACUUGUGGCGUGUGUUACUUUGUUAUGGCACAUGAAUAAAAAUUCCUGCUCUCAUCUAUAUUUCUUGAAACAUAACAGAUUUUAGCGAGUAACUUUCAGUUUGUGGUUUAUCUGCAUGGUUCAUGCAGUAAUCUUGGCUGUCAAGAGCUCUGCAUAGUAGCCUCGGUGGAAGGUAAUGAUUGUUAUUGGGUUUAUGUUUACAAUGACUGUUUUCCUUGGCUCAGGUCCUACACAUCUCUAGGAAGUAAAAAUAAAGUAUAAAGGUUAUCAUUUUCACUCUGUUUUUCAUAGUUACUCGUAUAAAUAUAUGUUGUACGGGUUCUACGCAAUGUGUACUUCAGAAUUUUCCAUCUGAAUAUGUGUAAACGUAUAAUCCGACAAUGCAGUUUCUGUCUGAAUGUGUAGCUCUAAUUUGUCUCACUCUUCUCAUAUUUCAAUAUGCCUACUCAGGUUAAAUGUGAAGCAAAGAUAUAGGUGUACACUUUACACCUGCUCACAUCAUCACUGUGGUCCAGAGCUUAUAUUGCAAUCGGGUGCACAACAACAAUUGGCAUAUGCUCAGCUAGAUAUGUUCUUUCGACAUGCUUCUUGGGUUGAUUAGUUUCUGUUUACGACCUAUUUUAUGUCAGAUUUCCUUUUUGUAGCUUCUGGUUGCAGUUAGAGAAUAUUGCUUCUUGAGACUGACUCUGAUUUUGGUUUAUGUGAUGGUACAUGCAGUGGGAUUUGAUUCGCAAGGGAAGGGAAGCCAACAGGGUGGAGGAGGUGUGGCACCGCAGAGGAGGCGGCACACUUAAAAUAAUCAUUGUGUAAACUGUAUGCUCACGACUUUUACAUAUCCAUUGGUAAGAAAAUCCAGUCCGUUAUAAAUCUUUUAUACCUAAA